GCCUUCCGCCCCUGCGUUCUCAGGAUAAACAAACAAGCUUGGCAUCGAGAACGUAAGAUACACAAGUAGUCCAAACGCAUCACACUCAAACAAGGUGGGAUCCUGUUGCCGAUUAUUUAGUAAUGUGUGUAAUCAUAUAAGAUGAAAAGUUUAAAAAGUGUCAUCUUACCUCGAUCCAAUACCCAUUACGAUCAGAGUUAACGGCACAAGCUCUUGUUAAGUACUUGAUUCCAAUAUUUCGUCGCAGUGGAACCUGAUCACCAAAGAAGGGUAGAUUCUGGUCUCGAUGAAACGCCUCCGAAGACACGAUGGUGAAAGCAAGACAAUUCCAUAUCGAAAGUAGCAGCCGGAAAUCGUCUUCUCUUGGCAACUCAAUGCAUAGUGCAGCCUGUUAAAUUAAAUUAUUAGAUAGACCAAAAACUUACUAGAACGAUAAAAAAUGUUGUGAUUUAUAUUUUAUCGAAUUACAUUAUAAUUUCUAAUCAUAAAGGUUGUAAAGAUUGGAUGAAAUCCCGAA